rnacentral:rRNA from 1 species
UGCAUGUAUAUUAACAUUAUUCAACCAAUUAUUAUAUAAAAUAGUUUACUUAUAAAUCCAAUUUUAUAAAAUAUUUAAAUCUUAAUCCAAAAAUCAUUUUAUUGUAAUACAUUUUAACUUAAAUAUUAUCUGCACCUUGACCUGACUUAUUUCAUUAUAUGAAAUAUAAAAAAUAUUUUAAAAAAUUUUUUUAAGACGGAGAUAUACAAAAUAAACAAUUUAAGUAAGAUAUUUGUGGAUUAUCAAUUAAAAAACAUAUUCCUCUAAUUAGAAUAUACACCGCCAAAUUCUUUAAGUUUCCUGACCAAAUCAUUUACUACUCAAAAUUAAAUUUAUGUUAAUUA